UUGGUGUGGGGGCAGUUUUUAUGUUCUAUAAUACAAAGCAUACUAAAUGGAAUAAAUGGAAAUUUAGAGUCACAGUUAAACAUUCGACUUAUGUCUUCUCUUUUAAGCAUUUUAAACUACCUCUAUUAUAUUGAUUUUUAGAAGAAUUGUUUUCUAAAGAAAACUGCUUCCUGAUGUUGGCGCAGGAUAUAAAGAAUAGGAUUUCCCAGAAGAAGAGACAUUUUUAUCCCAGUAAUCCACAAUAAAAUGGGGUGUAGAGAGAUGUAUCCAGAGCUGCACAGCUAGUGGACGUCUGAGCAGGAGCCACAUGCAGAAGAGUCUGACUCCAGGGCCUCAGCGUUGCUGUGUUUAGUCAUUCCUCCCAAUGCCAGUGAUCCCUUAAAUCUGGGUGUUGUCCAUCAUCAUCCCUGCCCGUCUCCGUGCAUCCACAACUGCCACAUCCUGAGAGCUCAGUCCAUCAUAAAUGCAAUUAUAGCCUUUUACCUCCUCCUCACCAGAUACUCUCUACAGGGCAAGUUCAUCAAACUGUGUGCUUAGAAGCUCUGGAGCAGAACUCUCACCCACCAGAAGAUUGCCUCAAGAGAUAAAAGAUGAUUUACAACCCAAAGUAUGCCCACUAGAGGUUUUGGCCAUUUUUACAAUGUAUUCCUGCCCAUGAAGAUGCCAACUUGACUGCCCAAUACAUAAAGCACCAAAGCAAGUAUGCGGACCCCCCCACACCUCCUCACUUCUGCUCCUGUGUAGACCCCCAUCUUUAAAAGCACUUACUUUCUCCUGCAAAAGCAAAUCAGACCCUUACAGCAGGAAGGCUUUUCUUCUUCUCCUAAACUAGCUUUGGAAUAAAAAGUUAUUUUCUUUA
rnacentral:lncRNA from 1 species